UGUUUAUUAAAUAAUAUCCUAGUUCCUGCUUUACUUCAAAGAAAACUAUGAAAAUGCUGAUGUCGAGUGUUUAUUCGUCAAGAAGCAUGUGCAGAAUUCAAAUAAUAUAUAAAAGAAACAUGCUCCUUGCUGUGAUACCAAUAACUACCCCCCUCGCACUCUUUCGAUUAUGGAGCCCCCGAGUCCUGUAAAUUAUUUCUAAUGCAUGAGAAGCGCCUGGCUGCUCUUAGAUACCUUCAGCAUGACUUUACUUCUCAUCUUAUUUUGACUUAUAUGAGAUAUACUUCCCUUUACUAUUUUUUGCUGGUAUUUCUCUUCAUAUGAAAUAUUAGAUACGCCAAGAUCGUAUCUAUCAAAGUGAAGCUCUUCAAGAACAUCGAAAAUGUUAACUGAUAGUUGAUUUCCCUUUCAACAUAUGAAAACUCAUCGUAAACAGGAAAGUUAUGUACAUUUCUAUGAGACAAGCAUAGGAGGAUAAAUAGGUUUUAAUCCAAAUUUCAUAAGUUAUCUGAAGAGCGUCAGUUCCAGUCUGAGCCUAGGUGUGUCUGAUCGAACAAGCGAAACUAUGGAGCUACGUCUGAAGGAAAGCAACUGAUAGACAAUGGUUGCUGUUUGAUCAUGGCUCUUGUUCCGGAUUAUGGACGUCCGGAUUAAAGACUUUUGACUGUAUAAUCAAGCAUUAUGUGUUGUAAAAUGUAUCAAAUGUGUCAUGUGCUGUAAAAAGUCUCUAAUGUUCUAAAAUUUACCAAGUGUUUCUGAAAUAUUAGCAUGUAAAAGUAUAAAGUUAGUCUGAAGUGUUAUGCAUGUCAUGUCAAGAAGUAUCAUUAUGACCAAAACAGAACAAUGUAAUUCAUAACUUUGUAAAGAAAAACGUCUCUGUAUGCCCAUGUAAAACUUUUUUUGAUUUAGUACA